rnacentral:rRNA from 1 species
UACGUAGGGGGCAAGCGUUGUCCGGAUUUAUUGGGCGUAAAGAGCGUGUAGGCGGCCAUGCAGGUCAGCUGUGAAAACUCGAGGCUCAACCUCGAGACGUCGGUUGAAACCGCAUGGCUAGAGUCCGGAAGAGGAGAGUGGAAUUCCCGGUGUAGCGGUGAAAUGCGCAGAUAUCGGGAAGAACGCCCGUGGCGAAGGCGGCUCUCUGGGACGGUACUGACGCUGAGACGCGAAAGCGUGGGGAGCGAACAGG